rnacentral:lncRNA from 1 species
ACUGAAAUGUCCAUAUUAAGUUAAUAAGACUUCAGACAGCUCCGCGUUACCCUUUUGCACUCUUUUCCCUGCAUUCCCUUGUCUUUUUGAGACUGGUUUUAAAGCAUAUUUGGUACCCUUCACAUCCAGCAAUGAGAAAGAGGGGAAAAUGGACAAAAAGGAAUAAGGGGUCUCCAUUCAGAGAUGCUGAAUCUGGGUUUUUGUAAAUGAUGUAGGUACUACAUUGUGGAUGAAACCUUUGUAAAUUGAGGCAAAAAUGUCUGAGCAUUUGUUUCAAAAUUUUUACAUAUAUUUUUAAAAAUUACCAUAAAUUUCAGAUGGAUUACCUAUUCAGACAGAGUAGGUAAAGUUGUUAAUAUGUUCUCCAGCAGUGAAGGAAACUUCCAGAAAGGCCGCUGGCUGCUUCCUUCAGAGGGCAGCUACUUUGGGAUGGUAUGCAAGUUAAGUUCAAAUUCCAGUUUCCUUGCUCAACUUGAACAACACUCAAAAGCUGACCAUAAAGGCUUUCCCCCUCUUUUUUGUUUUGUUUUGCCUUGUUUUUAACCUCUAAUUAAAGAAUUCUGGAUAUAGAUUAACUUCUCUCCCCUCCACCCCACCCCCAGUCCCGACUGUUUUGACUGCCCCAACUAAGCGAAUAUGCACCUUUGUGCUUUGAUGGAUUUCCUAUUUUGGUGGUAAAAACCCUUUUUUUCCUUACAAAAAGAUUUUCUUUGCUUCUAACCAAACUCUCAUCUUGCCCUCUGACUCCUCCUCCCCGACUCCCACCCCCGUGUUUCAGGAAGGAGCAAUUAAGCAAUCCUGCCACGUUUCUUCUGAAAUAAGCAAAAACGGUGGCUUCCAGAGCCAUGACAGAGGUGCUCUCUCCAGAUCGCCCUGAACAGUGUGAGCUAAGGCACGAAGCCUGAUUCUAAGCCACUGUCAAAGGACGCCAGGAAAGACAGAAGCGUAAAAGAAGGCAAGAGCCUCGAAGGGAAAGAACGUUUUCUGAAUAAAAAGUCCCAUCUUUCUUCCAGUGUGGAGCUCAAAAGUGUUGACUCAUUCGAAUGAACCUGAGCUUCAGCUGGCAGCUUUCUGAUAGCAGAUUUUGUGAUCAAAGACAUUGAAUAAACCCUUAUAAAUCCG